rnacentral:rRNA from 1 species
UACGUAGGUGACAAGCGUUGUCCGGAAUUAUUGGGCGUAAAGCGCGCGCAGGCGGUCCUUUAAGUCUGAUGUGAAAGCCCACGGCUCAACCGUGGAGGGUCAUUGGAAACUGGGGGACUUGAGUACAGAAGAGAAGAGUGGAAUUCCACGUGUAGCGGUGAAAUGCGUAGAGAUGUGGAGGAACACCAGUGGCGAAGGCGACUCUUUGGUCUGUAACUGACGCUGAGGAGCGAAAGCGUGGGGAGCGAACAGG